UGCAGCUCAGUGGCAGAGCCCCCCUGGGCUCAGCGGCAAAAAGGAAAAACAACCACAAGGAAUCACAGUGUCCCUUUUCGAGCCUGUGGUCUGCGUGUCAAUGUCAAACCCUCUUCACGUGCUGGUUCUUCUGUGUUGAGGACUCAUUGGUUGAGAAAACUCACAAGGACAAGAAGCUACUUUGAAUUCAGUAGUGGUUUAAAAUCAAUUUAUAAUUGGUUAUUCGAAGACGCAUGUGUAUGCAUUUGAGAAAUAACCCUGGCGUGGGCUUUGUCCUGAAGGGUGAGUGCGAGGAUCUCGGUCAGUGUGUGGUGACUCUGCCGCCCCCCCCCCCCGCCACGGGGGCCAGGUCCUCACACCACCCCUUCCAAGUCUGCCUUCUGUCAUCCACAAAGGGCUCCACUCCUGCUGCCCUCAACUCCUGCUGCUUGCAGAACAGGAAGGAGACGGAAUGGUAGGGCACGAGCCCAGGGAGGCUGAUGGAAGAUGUCAAUGGCACGUGAGGCAGAAAUGGGAGGGCGGGAGGUCCGCGGUGACCCUCGGAUGGGCUCCACCAUGUGGAGGGGCCAUAAGAGCCCUCAAUCCCCUGUCGCGGAAGCAGAUGUGCUUCACAGGUGCUGGCCUCCCCUGUCUUGGCCAAGGGUCCCCACCAGGGCACCUUUCACUACCCAGCGCCACAUGUGGUCCAGUGCUGAGAACUGGAGUGUGGGGCAGCUGGGGACACAGCUGUGAGGACUCCACCAGCCAUGCUGGGCGAGGCAGGCCGCCCCUGGUGGCUUGGGGAAGGGACAGGACAGUGCUGACCAGGGCUGGAGGUGGGGCAGGGCUCCCGGGAGUCUGACGUCUUCUGCUAGAGCUGGCUGGCACCAUGGGCUGGGUGAGCCGAGCGCUGGAGACCUCUGGAUGGCGUCCCUUCUGGAACCUAGCCACGGACCUCAGAGAAAGGGGCAGGGGACAGCGGUUUCCACCACAGAACUAAAUGCCUGGGGUCCUUGUAGGUCCCCAAACAGAACAUGCAAACGGCUCGAAAGCAGGCCCGAUCUUUCCUUCUUUUUAUUAUUUUUAAAAAUCAUUCCUUUCUGAGAUUGGAUUUGGGCCGACUGCACACAUCAGCACUCCGGCUUCCCCGGGGAGGGAGGCAGAGCUCGCCCCGCCCCCUCCCCCGGCCCUCCCCACUUCUGGCACUGAGGGCUCAGCCCAGGAUGCAACUGUGGGCAAAUGAGGCCCUGCUGGGGCCGGGGAGCCUGGGGAGGGCACCUCUGCCUGGGGGAGGAGGCCCCGCUUGCUGGUGCGGUCUCAGCCUUCUGGAAGCUGUAAUGAGCUCAAGUUUGACUUUGGGUCUUACAGGCCAUGUACUGAAUGGUUUCAGGAUCAUGGAAGUUUCUCAUACAGCAGGGAACAGCUUCUAUUCUACCAAAGGCCCCGCCAGCUGACUGCCCCACCUGUCUGUCCACAGCAGCCCCGUGGACCUCUCCCUCACAGCUCCUGGUUCUUUUAAUUCCUGCGUAUCUAACAGCUUGUAGUCAUUUGUCUCUCUGUAUGUGAAUGUCACUCUCCCCAACUACAGAUGAGUGCCACCAGGGAAGCAUGCACACCUGUAGCUCUCCAGGAUCAGAGGUUAAAACUGGGAAGAAAACACUGAAUCUACUUGGAGAUGAGAGAAACUCACUCUGAAAAAUAACAGGCAUGUUUGAAACGGCCCUGAAAUGUGUGCGUGUGUCUCUACGACUGCCAAGAACGCACAGAGGACAGCCGGCUGCUUCCCCGGGCCAGUGAAGGGGCUCUGGAAACAGCUCUGUUGGUAGGAGUGAGGAGAGCGGCUUCAGGAGGCCAACCCCGUGUGCCUGCAGAGGGGGUUGGGGACGGAGCAAAACCCCUCUCGGAUCUCGCCUGGCAGGUGCCGUCAAACCUGGCUGCUGAGGACAGUCUGCAGGCCAGGUUCAUGGUGGUGCCCGGUGCUCUGAAAGGAGGGCUGAUGGGAAGUGGCAGAGUGAUGUUUUGGGACUUCUGAGGUCAGGGCAGAAAAAGCCUUUUAGCUCCUGCCUGGGGCCAAACCUGGAGAAGAAUGAGACUUCACCCCUCCAUGGGAGCAGUAGCCAAGAAUGGGCAGCCAUUUUAAAUUUGCCACACCAAGUGACUCUUUAUCCAGGCUGGCUGAAAAAAGAGGGAGUCCUUGGGAAUCUCCUGGACCUUGAAAUUCUCUCCUCACAUGAGAUCCCCUUUCUCUGCAUGUCAGCCCACUAAAAUUAUGUAUAUAUUAUGCAAAUUGUGUUAUGCAAAUUGGAUGCCUGUACUCUCCCCAGCCUUUGGGAACGAGUCAGAGUGCUCACA